UACGUAGGGGGCAAGCGUUGUCCGGAUUUAUUGGGCGUAAAGAGCGUGUAGGCGGUUUGGUAGGUCCGCUGUGAAAACUCGAGGCUCAACCUCGAGCUGUCGGUGGAAACCGCGUGGCUAGAGUCCGGAAGAGGGGACUGGAAUUCCCGGUGUAGCGGUGGAAUGCGCAGAUAUCGGGAGGAACACCCGUGGCGAAGGCGGGUCCCUGGGACGGUACUGACGCUGAGACGCGAAAGCGUGGGGAGCGAACAGG
rnacentral:rRNA from 1 species